UACGAGUGCCUCAAGCGUUAUCCGGAAUCAUUGGGCGUAAAGGGCGCGUAGGCGGUCAGCACAAGUCAGUUGUGAAGUCUCCGGGCUUAACUCGGAAAGGUCAACUGAUACUGUGCGACUAGAGUGCGGAAGGGGCAACUGGAAUUCUCGGUGUAGCGGUGAAAUGCGUAGAUAUCGAGAGGAACACCUGCGGCGAAGGCGGGUUGCUGGGCCGACACUGACGCUGAUGCGCGAAAGCCAGGGGAGCGAACGGG
rnacentral:rRNA from 1 species